CAGGAAUAUACAGCUUGCCAAAACACCUGUUCAGCUUCCUUGACAGGAACAUCUCCUGAAACAGUGUUGUUUUCAAAGAACAUCAAAAGGUGCAAAUAUCUUCACAUCAUUGUGUACUGAAGAUGGGGCCAUAGCUCUACCUGCUGUUCAUACACUUUGAGGAGGCUUGGAUGGAGCAAUCCCAGGGCUCACUGAAGCACAGGAACUGCAGCUGGAUCUGGAUCUGGAAUAAUUUCCAUCUCAGUCAUGAAAAAAACAGGAGACACAA